CUAGAUUGAAUCCAAGAGCCUUCGAUGUCAAACUUAGACGGUGUAUUAGCAUAAACUCUCAUAAUGGUUUUGGAAGCUGAGGAUUGUGAUUUUUGUUGCAGUGUACGACGGCGCCAACAACGAUAAAACUAGAUGGGUAUCUCUAUGGGGCAUGAAGUUUGCAUAUCCACAAGUCCAGCUUGAUGUGCAUUCAGAUAGUUGAUCUCAUGGAGCAUAUAAUCAUUCAAAAGGGAUCGAAGCGGUCCUCUACAGAAGAAAUUCAUUGUCCGUGAGCUUGAGAACCACAUGUGCA